AGGUCACCCGAAAAGAGAACUUAAGAAGGGGAAUUUUUUGGUGGUGCCUGUAGUCUGCCUGAAGCAGCAGGCAAAUUAUCUAUUCCUAAGGGCUAGAGGGAAGAUUUCUAGCAUUACAACCUUCAAAAGUUGCAAGGUGACUGAAACGCAGGUGGCCACGGAAGCAACCAACAUGGUAAUUCAAGGCAUGCAUCGCUAAAUUU